AAAAGUAUGAAAAAACAAUAAAAAUUGUUGUAAAAAGAGGACUUCCCGGAAGGUCACCCAUCCUGGCACUACACCCUUCCAUGCACGCUUAACUUCGGAGUUCUAACGAGAUCCGUGCAUUAGUACUGAUAUGAUCGUGUAGGUAAAUUGAUUCAUAUUUUCAAUUAUUAUGGAUCACUGACACACAAUCUCCCGCUUCCACUCCUUUGUUCCGCAACGUAAAGGUUGAACUAUAACGAGUCCAAACUAGUCGUUUUGUCACCUGUAUCCGUAAAUAUCAAAAGUAAAUGGGCAUGGGGUAUUUUCUAUUAAGAAUAAGUGUGAAAAAUAAACAAAAAUGGUGUAAAAAGAGGACUUCCCGGUGGGUAACCAAUCGUGGCAUUCCGCCCGUCCAUUCACGCUUAACUUCGGAGUUCAAACGAGAUCCGUGCAUUAGUACUGAUAUGAUCGUGCAGGUAACUUGAUUCACCUUUGCAAUUUUUAUGGAGCCACCACCGACCCCAAAUCCCCCGAUUCCUCUCCUUCGCUGCGUAGCGAAACGGGGGAAGUACAACAGGUCCAAGCUAGUCGAUUCUUCUCCCGCAUCCAUGAAUAUCACAAAUAAAUGGGCAUGGAAAAUUUUCUACAAAGAAAAAGUGUGAAAAAUCAUUAAAAAUUAUUGUAAAAAGAGCGCUUCCACUCCUUUGUUCCGCAACGCAACGAGCGAAGUACAACAUGUCCAAACUAGUCGUUUCGUCACCCGUAUCCGUAAAUGUCAAAAGUAAAUGGGCAUGGGGAAUUUUCGAUUAAAAUUUAAGAAUAAGUGCGAAAAAUCUACAAAAAGGGUGUAAAAAUAGGACUUUCCGGUGGGUCACCCAUCCUGGCACUGCACCCGCCCAUGCACGCUUAACUUCAGAGUUCAAACGGGAUCUGUGCAUUAGUACGGAUAUGAUUGUGAAGGUAAGUUGAUUCACCUUUUCAAUUCUUAUUGAGCCACUCACCCCCAAUCCCCCGCUUUCUCUCCUUCGCACCGCAACGUAAAGGGUGAAGUACAACGGGUCUAAACUAGUCGCUUCAUUGCUCGCAUCCAUAAACAUAACAAAUAAAAGGGCAUGGGUGAUUUUUUAAAAAGAAUUAAGGUUGAAAAAUAAACAAAAAAGCUGCAAAAAGAGGACUUCCCGGUGGGUCACCCAUCUUGGCAUUGCACCUGUCCAUGCCCGCUUAACUUCGGAGUUCAAACGGGAUCUAUGCAUUAGUACUGAAAUGAUCGUGCAGGUAACUUGAUUCACUUUUCAAUUUUUAUGGAGCCACCGCCGACCCCCAAUCACCCGCUUCCUCUCCUUCGCUGCUUAGCGCAAUAAGUAAAGUACAACGGGUCCAAACUAGUCGAUUCAUCGCCCGCAUCCAUAAAUAUCACAAAUAAAUGGGCAUGGGAAAUUUUCUACAAAGAAAAAGUAUGAAAAAACAUUAAAAAGUGUUGUAAAAAGAAGACUUCCAGGCAGGUCACCCAUCCUGGCAAUGCACCAGUCCAUGCACGCUUAAUUUCGGAGUUCUAACGGGAUCCUUGCAUUAGUACUGAUAUGAUCGUGAGGUAAGUUGAUUCACAUUUUAAAUUCUUAUGGAGCCACUGACACACAAUCUCCCGCAUCCUCUCCUUUGUUCCGCAGCGCAACGAGUGAAGAACAACGGGUCCAAACUAGUAGUUUCGUCACCCGUAUCCGUAAAUAUCAAAAGUAAAUGGGCAUUGAGAAUUUUCUAUUAAGAAUAAGUGCGAAAAAUCAUUCAAAAGGGUGUAAAAAGAGGAUUUCCCGGUAGGUCACCUAUCGUGGCACUGCACCCAUCCAUGCACGCUUAACUUCGGAGUUCAAACGGAAUCUGUGCAUUAGUACGGAUAUGAUCGUGAAGGUAAGUUGAUUCACCUUUUCAAUUCUUAUUGAGCCACUCACCCCCAAUCCCCCGCUUUCUCUCCUUCGCACCGCAACGUAAAGGGUGAAGUACAACGGGUCUAAACUAGUCGCUUCAUUGCUCGCAUCCAAAAAUAUAACAAAUAAAAGGGCAUGGGAGAUUUUUUAAAAAGAAUAACGUUGAAAAAUAAACAAAAAGGUUGCAAAAAGAGGACUUCCCGACAGGUCACCCAUCUUGGCAUUGCACCCGUCCAUGCACGCUUAACUUCGUAGUUCAAACGGGAUCUAUGCAUUAGUACUGAAAUGAUCGUGCAGGUAACUUGAUUCACUUUUCAAUUUUUAUGGAGCCACCGCCGACCCCCAAUCACCCGCUUCCUCUCCUUCGCUGCUUAGCGCAAUAAGUAAAGUACAACGGGUCCAAACUAGUCGAUUCAUCGCCCGAAUCCAUAAAUAUCACAAAUAAAUGGGCAUGGGAAAUUUUCUAUAAAGAAAAAGUAUGAAAAAACAUUAAAAAGUGUUGUAAAAAGAGGACUUCCAGGCAGGUCACCCAUCCUGGCAAUGCACCAGUCCAUGCACGCUUAAUUUCGGAGUUCUAACGGGAUCCUUGCAUUAGUACUGAUAUGAUCGUGAGGUAAGUUGAUUCACAUUUUAAAUUCUUAUGGAGCCACUGACACACAAUCUCCCGCAUCCUCUCCUUUGUUCCGCAGCGCAACGAGUGAAGAACAACGGGUCCAAACUAGUAGUUUCGUCACCCGUAUCCGUAAAUAUCAAAAGUAAAUGGGCAUUGAGAAUUUUCUAUUAAGAAUAAGUGCGAAAAAUCAUUCAAAAGGGUGUAAAAGGAGGACUUCCCGGUAGGUCACCCAUCGUGGCACUGCACCCGUCCAUGCACGCUUAACUUCGGAGUUCAAACGGAAUCUGUGCAUUAGUACGGAUAUGAUCGUGAAGGUAAGUUGAUUCACCUUUUCAAUUCUUAUUGAGCCACUCACCCCCAAUCCCCCGCUUUCUCUCCUUCGCACCGCAACGUAAAGGGUGAAGUACAACGGGUCUAAACUAGUCGCUUCAUUGCUCGCAUCCAAAAACAUAACAAAUAAAAGGGUAUGGGAGAUUUUUUAAAAAGAAUAACGUUGAAAAAUAAACAAAAAAGCUGCAAAAAGAGGACUUCCCGGCAGGUCACCCAUCUUGGCAUUGCACCCGUCCAUGCACGCUUAACUUCGGAGUUCAAACGGGAUCUAUGCAUUAGUACUGAAAUGAUCGUGCAGGUAACUUGAUUCACUAUUCAAUGUUUAUGGAGCCACCGCCGACCCCCAAUCACCCGCUUCCUCUCCUUCGCUGCUUAGCGCAACGGGUAAAGUACAACGUGUCCAAAAUAGUCGAUUCAUCGCCCGCAUCCAUAAAUAUCACAAAUAAAGGGGCAUUGGGAAUUUUCUACAAAGAAAAAGUAUGAAAAAACAUUAAAAAGUGUUGUAAAAAGAGGACUUCCAGGCAGGUCAGCCAUCGUGGCACUGCACCCGUCCAUGCACGCUUAACUUCGGAGUUCAAACGGGAUCCGUGCAUUAGCAUGGAUAUGAUCGUGAAGGUAAGUUGAUUCACCUUUUCAAUUUUUAUUGAGUCACUCACCCCCAAUCCCCCACUUUCUCUCCUUCGCACCGCAACGUAAAGGUUGAACUAUAACGAGUCCAAACUAGUCGUUUUGUCACCUGUAUCCGUAAAUAUCAAAAGUAAAUGGCAUGGGGUAUUUUCUAUUAAGAAUAAGUGUGAAAAAUAAACAAAAAUGGUGUAAAAAGAGGACUUCCCGGUGGGUAACCAAUCGUGGCAUUCCGCCCGUCCAUUCACGCUUAACUUCGGAGUUCAAACGAGAUCCGUGUAUUAGUACUGAUAUGAUCGUGCAGGUAACUUGAUUCACCUUUGCAAUUUUUAUGGAGCCACCACCGACCCCAAAUCCCCCGAUUCCUCUCCUUCGCUGCGUAGCGAAACGGGGGAAGUACAACAGGUCCAAGCUAGUCGAUUCUUCUCCCGCAUCCAUGAAUAUCACAAAUAAAUGGGCAUGGAAAAUUUUCUACAAAGAAAAAGUGUGAAAAAUCAUUAAAAAUUAUUGUAAAAAGAGCGCUUCCACUCCUUUGUUCCGCAACGCAACGAGCGAAGUACAACAUGUCCAAACUAGUCGUUUCGUCACCCGUAUCCGUAAAUGUCAAAAGUAAAUGGGCAUGGGGAAUUUUCGAUUAAGAAUAAGUGCGAAAAAUCUACAAAAAGGGUGUAAAAAGAGGACUUUCCGGUGGGUCACCCAUCCUGGCACUGCACCCGCCCAUACACGCUUAACUUCAGAGUUCAAACGGGAUCUGUGCAUUAGUACGGAUAUGAUUGUGAAGGUAAGUUGAUUCACCUUUUCAAUUCUUAUUGAGCCACUCACCCCCAAUCCCCCGCUUUCUCUCCUUCGCACCGCAACGUAAAGGGUGAAGUACAACGGGUCUAAACUAGUCGCUUCAUUGCUCGCAUCCAUAAACAUAACAAAUAAAAGGGCAUGGGUGAUUUUUUAAAACGAAUAAGGUUGAAAAAUAAACAAAAAAGCUGCAAAAAGAGGACUUCCCGGCGGGUCACCCAUCUUGGCAUUGCACCUGUCCAUGCCCGCUUAACUUUGGAGUUCAAACGGGAUCCAUGCAUUAGUACUGAAAUGAUCGUGCAGGUAACUUGAUUCACCUUUUCAAUUUUUAUGGAGCCACCGCCAACCCCCAAUCACCUGCUUCCUCUCCUUUGCUGCGUAGCGCAACGGGUAAAGUACAACGGGUCCAAACUAGUCGAUUCAUCGCCCGCAUCCAUAAAUAUCACAAAUAAAUGGGCAUGGAGAAUUUUCUACAAAGAAAAAGUGUGAAAAAACAUUAAAAAGUGUUGUAAAAAGAGGACUUCCAGGCAGGUCACCCAUCCUGGCACUGCACUCGUGCAUGCACGCUUAACUUCGGAGUUCUAACGAGAUCCGUGCAUUAGUACUGAUAUGAUCGUGUAGGUAAGUUGAUUCACAUUUUUCAUUCUUAUGGAGCCACUAACACACAAUCUCCCGCUUCCUCUCCUUUGCUCCGCAGCGCAACGGGUGAAGAACAACGAGUCCAAACUAGUCGUUUUGUC
rnacentral:lncRNA from 1 species